rfam:Triticum aestivum genome assembly, contig: Triticum_aestivum_CS42_TGACv1_scaffold_221784_3B
UUAUUACUCCCUCCGUUCGGAAAUACUUGUCCUAAAAAUGGAUCAAAUGAAUGUAUCUAUGAUUAAAAUAAGUCUAGAUACAUCCAUCUCAGGGACAAGUACUUACGAACAGAGGGAGUACUUU